AAUUAGGACUCCUCAGGUCACCUUCUCACAAUGAGGCUCCUUGCUCAGCUUCUGGGGCUGCUAAUGCUCUGGGUCCCUGGAUCCAGUGGGGAUAUUGUGAUGACCCAGACUCCACUCUCCUCGCCUGUCACCCUUGGACAGCCGGCCUCCAUCUCCUUCAGGUCUAGUCAAAGCCUCGUACACAGUGAUGGAAACACCUACUUGAGUUGGCUUCAGCAGAGGCCAGGCCAGCCUCCAAGACUCCUAAUUUAUAAGGUUUCUAACCGGUUCUCUGGGGUCCCAGACAGAUUCAGUGGCAGUGGGGCAGGGACAGAUUUCACACUGAAAAUCAGCAGGGUGGAAGCUGAGGAUGUCGGGGUUUAUUACUGCACGCAAGCUACACAAUUUCCU
rnacentral:lncRNA from 1 species